CACUCAUCUUUCGUUUCUCUCUCCUUGCAGCUGAAGAAGAACGGAGUUGGACUGAAGCUCCGGUGACGACAGUGACAGUAAGUCACUGUCGAUUUUGCUCUCUCUCCUCUCCUAUUCUUCUUCUUCCUCUCCUCUCUCUCACACACUCUUUUUCAUUCCUCCCCUGCCUUUCUAUUGCAGACCAGACCAGACCAGGGUGAUUUCUUUUUGCUAUUAGAUUUCACACACUCUCUCUCUCUCACGGAUCGGCUCAGUUUAUAGGGAUGAAGACAAUACUGAAUAAGCCAUAGUAGAAUAUUGCAGACCAGACUAGACCACGAUGAUUGCUUGAAAUGCUGUGAGAACACAAUGAGCGUCGUAGUGCUGGGCAAGGUGGUCAAAGCUUCAGCUGCAGACAAAUUGCUGAUGGGUGACUUCAAUUCCAUCAAGAAGCAACAAACCAUCUGAUCCAGCUUUAAUGGAGUAAAGCAGACUAUGCAAGAAUGAGUAAGAAGGCAAACCAACACCAACUAUGGUUGCUUCACUGCUACACUUUGCCUUGGACCAUUCGUUGAGGUGCUUCAACAGAAGCAGAGCUAAAUUUGCCUCCUGCUGCUUGAUUUCCUCUAAUGGAAAAUUCUGCUGAGUGAGAGACCCUCUUC